ACGAACGCUGGCGGCGUGCUUAACACAUGCCAGUCGAACGGAAAGGCCCUGCUUGCAGGGUACUCGAGUGGCGAACGGGUGAGUAACACGUGGGUGAUCUGCCCUGCACUUCGGGAUAAGCCUGGGAAACUGGGUCUAAUACCGGAUAGGAGCCAUUUUUCGUGUGAUGGUUGGAAAGUUUUUUCGGUGUAGGAUGAGCUCGCGGCCUAUCAGCUUGUUGGUGGGGUAAUGGCCUACCAAGGCGGCGACGGGUAGCCGGCCUGAGAGGGUGGACGGCCACAUUGGGACUGAGAUACGGCCCAGACUCCUACGGGAGGCAGCAGGGGGGAAUAUUGCACAAUGGGCGCAAGCCUGAUGCAGCGACGCCGCGUGGGGGAUGACGGCCUUCGGGUUGUAAACUCCUUUCGCUAGGGACGAAGCUUUAUGUGACGGUACCUAGAUAAGAAGCACCGGCUAACUACGUG
rnacentral:rRNA from 1 species